AAUUGCUGGCAGAGGAAUAAAGCCAUAUAAUUAAAAAUGAGAAAGAGCUGCUGUAACAGGCAUGCAGUAUAUUCUAUAUGCCACUUGCAAUAGUGCGUGAAAAAUGUCUCCGUAAGUCUUCACAUUGUGCUGGGUGGUAAAUGUCAUGUUGUGUUACCUGAUGUUUUAAAUGAAUGAUGAUGUCUGCUGUGCUCAAGUUCAUUCAAAAGUCUUAGACAGACUGCUGAGUUACACACUACCGGUACUAGCUGAGAAACAGACUCCAUGUCCCUGGGGAAUGGGAGUAGAGACGCAUCUAGGCCACUCAUUUUCAAUGCACCCUUGGUCUUCUAAUGGGCUGCAUGAGCAGAGGAGAAUGAGACCAGGUUGGCUGGAGCACAAGCUCACACCAUGAAAACCUACUGACACUCUUUAGUCCUCACUCAGCAUAUACCGUCUCCCAUCCACGACUCCGAGCACUUAGCCCUCCACCGGGACUCUACAUUCCUCCAUCCCUUCACUGUCCCUAUUUAUAUAUUUUCCCACUUGUGUAAUCUCUUUCAGCACUUACUCAUACCCUUACUCACACACACCACCAUACACACCCCUGCACAUGUUCAGUAGGAAAGAAAAAAACAACAGCACUUGGACUAAAAACCCAGUUCCCUGCUAUCCACACUUCUAUCCAAAAAGCCUCUGAAACGCUUCGGCACAUCAGACCAUUUUCUCCGCUCCGUCCUGUCAUGGAGCCAGUGCCACUCGUUUGCUCAGACGCUCGCUUAAAGCACAUCUGGGUGCCGCUUUCGAGGAGCCAACAUGUAAUUGGGGUCAUAAAAGGAGCUUAUAAAUGAAUGAUGGAUUGUUGAGGAAAUCUCUGCCACAGACUCUGCUGACCUGGGAUAGAUUGGAAGGUUGGAUUCAAUGGGGCAAACAGUAUUUUCACUGCAUGUGUGUUUAAGCAUCUGUGUGUGUUUUAACAUGUCGGGGCAUGUCCCUGUUGGCUCGAGGAAGUUGGGAAAGUUCCAGUUAGCAGGAAGCUAACUUGAAAUAGAAUUCAAAACAGUGCAUUCCUUCACUGUUCACUCGCUAUAGAUGUGAUAAUGCAGGUUGAGCCGGUUGUUUUAUUAACUCAUACCUCACAUGUUCACACAGUCACCUGUAAAACUCAGGUGAUCUGAACACCUUUGUUGUUGUGGCAGGUGCAUCAUGCAGAGUUGAGUCAUUUCAGCGUCAUGUAGCCCCGGGGGGGGAUAAGCAGACUGAUCCAUUUCACUGAAGCCUCAUCAGAAUUGGUCUCAGAGGACUGGUGGCUGUCAGGAGGUUACGACAAGGACAAAAGCUUGAGGGCUCCAGUGUCCGGGCUUUGACGCUCUCCACGGCUCUCUGGCUCUCAUCUCUAAGCUUUUUGCCAACAACACAUAUCGGUCACUUUUUAAGCUCUGUCAAGUAAGCCACCUGGAGGCAGAAGUGAACCGGAAGUUACUCUGAUGAUGUACUAUAAAAAUAAACUCCAGAGAGAAGAAAAGAAAAAAAAAAACACCUCAUGAUCAUGUCCACAGCGAAUAUUUAGCACAUCUGAAAUUAGACACAUUGCAGAAACAUGAUUAUAAAGAUCACUUUUAUACUUAGGCUUGUAGCUGGUUAUGCAGAUUUUAAAAAGUGAAGCGAUCUCUGCCAAAUUUGGGUUUACGUUAAGAAAUAUAAAAAUGCUUAAAUGUGGAGCUCAGUGGAUGUAAAGAG